GGCUGGUGUGAGUGCAGGGGUGUUUACAAGUAAAGAGGAAGACAGAUUACAGAUUCCUUAGUUCCUUCUCAUUCUCACUGAUUCACUAGACCAGCCUCUA
rnacentral:Y_RNA from 1 species